UGGAUUCCCCAUCUCCCAAAUUCUCUCUCAGAAACCCUAGCCGCCUCCCUCCACUUCCACCCUAGAACCACUGGAAUCUAUGGCUUCAAAGGCCAUAGAAGUCCUAUACCGACCUCCUAUGAAUCAUACAUGCUUGAUUAUCAUGGUUUCGUGGCUAGACCUUGAAGAAUCUUUGUCUAGACCUCGGUGCUUUCAGUCAUAUGGCUGUCUCUGGUCAUCUCCGACCUUGCUCCGGCCAGCCAUGUCUAUUCAAGCCUACUCUUGGUUUCUCUUGCUUAGAUCAAUGACCUUCCAAGCCUUUCUCACCUUCGAGAUUCUUCUAAAACCCUAAUCUUCGAGGUUCUCCUGAUUCUUUUAGAUCCGUUGUAGAUCUGUAUUUUCUCUAAGCUCCUAAACAUUUUCUCAUGGUUUGUUUCAAAAUUCUACUUUUAGAACCUUUGUCUUUUCUAAUUUAGGGUUCUUGUUACUUUAUUCGAAGCUCUUCUGAUUUUUUUAAACAUGUCCACUGUGUUUCUUAUGUUGUUCUUCUACUGUGUUCUUUAUGUUGAUCUUCUACUGGAAUGUGCAUGUUAAAAGUUUUAGUUCCUUUUUGAGACUUCUGAACUUAUUUUGUUAGUAUUUCUGUUUGAUUUACUUGCUUUCAUCUCUAUACUCGAUUGACGGGAGAACCCUAAAUUUAGGAAUUCAUUUGAGUUUUGAGGCCAUUGGAUAUGUGCGAUUUGUUUGUACUUCAUCUAUGAAUUUACUUGAUUUCAAAACCUUGACCCCUUUGUACCUAUUUCGAGUGUCUACUUGAUUAGACUUCAAAAAUAUUUGUUUCAACCUUUGUUUCUUUACAUGAUUCUGAUUCCUAGCUAAACUUUUCUAAGGUCCUUCUGCUAGACCCUUUGUAUGCCAUUUGAUAUUAUCUCUCUUCUACAUUGCUGACCUAUGUGACUACCAUAGUUUACUACUUACUAAUUUUGCAAUUAACAGAUGUUUUUCUUUGCUCUAAAUUCAGCCUACCAUGCUUGUAUGCUCUUUAUAUGUGCUUUCAAAUUUUGAAUGAUUUCAGACUUCCUUCGUGAAAGCCUGAUUGAUUUCUUUCCUUGUUUGUUGAUUUUCCUGUUACUUGGUUUAAGUCGAAAACUAUCCUUAGCUUUUCUGACUUGGUUCAUUCAUGGACCAAUAAUUACAAACCUCUGACUCCUUGAUUUAUUGUGUACUAAUUGAUUCUUACCUUAUUUUGUUUUAAC
rnacentral:lncRNA from 1 species